rnacentral:rRNA from 1 species
AGAACGAACGCUGGCGGCAGGCUUAACACAUGCAAGUCGAGCGCCCCGCAAGGGGAGCGGCAGACGGGUGAGUAACGCGUGGGAACAUACCCUCCGGUACGGAAUAACUCAGGGAAACUUGAGCUAAUACCGUAUACGGCUUAGCGGCGAAAGAUUUAUCGCCGGAGGAUUGGCCCGCGUCCGAUUAGCUAGUUGGUGUGGUAACGGCGCACCAAGGCGACGAUCGGUAGCUGGUCUGAGAGGAUGAUCAGCCACAUUGGGACUGAGACACGGCCCAAACUCCUACGGGAGGCAGCAGUGGGGAAUAUUGGACAAUGGGCGCAAGCCUGAUCCAGCCAUGCCGCGUGAGUGAUGACGGCCUUAGGGUUGUAAAGCUCUUUCGCCAGGGACGAUAAUGACGGUACCUGAUAAGAAGCCCCGGCUAACUUCGUGCCAGCAGCCGCGGUAAUACGAAGGGGGCUAGCGUUGUUCGGAAUUACUGGGCGUAAAGCGCAUGUAGGCGGGUCUUUAAGUCAGGGGUGAAAUGCCAAGGCUCAACCUUGGAACUGCCUUUGAUACUGGAGAUCUUGAGUCCGGGAGAGGUGAGUGGAACUGCGAGUGUAGAGGUGAAAUUCGUAGAUAUUCGCAAGAACACCAGUGGCGAAGGCGGCUCACUGGCCC